rnacentral:rRNA from 1 species
GAUGAACGCUAGCGACAGGCUUAACACAUGCAAGUCGAGGGGCAUCGGGGAGUAGCAAUACUCUGCCGGCGACCGGCGCACGGGUGCGUAACGCGUAUGCAACUUACCUUACAGAGGGGGAUAACCCGUUGAAAGACGGACUAACACCGCAUAUACUUUUUUUAUUGCAUGAUAAAGGAAGGAAAUAUUUAUAGCUGUAAGAUAGGCAUGCGUCCCAUUAGCUAGUUGGUAGGGGUAACGGCUCACCAAGGCAACGAUGGGUAGGGGAACUGAGAGGUUUAUCCCCCACACUGGUACUGAGACACGGACCAGACUCCUACGGGAGGCAGCAGUGAGGAAUAUUGGUCAAUGGGCGAGAGCCUGAACCAGCCAAGUCGCGUGAAGGAUGAAGGUCUUAUGGAUUGUAAACUUCUUUUGCGGGAGAAUAACGGGCGCUACGAGUAGUGUUAUGAAUGUAUCCCAGCGAAUAAGCAUCGGCUAACUCCGUGCCAGCAGCCGCGGUAAUACGGAGGAUGCGAGCGUUAUCCGGAUUUAUUGGGUUUAAAGGGUGCGUAGGCGGCUUUUUAAGUCAGCGGUGAAAGGUUCGGGCUCAACCCGGACAUUGCCGUUGAAACUGGGGAGCUUGAGUAUGGAUGAGGUAGGCGGAAUGCGUGGUGUAGCGGUGAAAUGCAUAGAUAUCACGCAGAACUCCGAUUGCGAAGGCAGCUUACUAAGGCAUUACUGACGCUGAAGCACGAAAGCGUGGGUAUCAAACAGG